rnacentral:rRNA from 1 species
GGACUACUGGGGUAUCUAAUCCUGUUUGCUCCCCUAGCUUUCGCGCCUCAGCGUCAGCUCUAGCCCAGAAAACCGUCUUCACCACCGGUGUUCUUCCACAUAUCUACGCAUUUCACCGCUACACGUGGAAUUCCGUUUUCCCUAACUAGGCUCAAGAUGAGGAGUAUCGAAUGCAGCACCGCAGUUGAGCCGCGGUAUUUCACAUUUGACUUUCCCAUCCGCCUACGCGCCCUUUACGCCCAGUAAUUCCGAUCAAUGCUUGCACCCUCCGUAUUACCGCGGCUGCUGGCAC